UUUUUUGACUGUCAGAAAUGUCUAUUAAUUUUAAAACUCCACUCAAUGCAGUACGCUUAACGUAUUCUAGAUACUUUAGUUUAUUCUGGGAUUUUGGUGUUACCUGGAGAAUGCAGCUGAACACAUUCCAUUCAGUGUAAUCACAGGAGCUCAGACUAACCAGGGAAGGGUUUGAACGGCUGCACCUAGAGUGCAUUUAAAAUGUUAAAUAACAGUCAUACCACGAAUCAGCCAUCAGAGGGAGAUCAGUGACCCGUACAAAGAUUGCUCCACAUUCAUGAAACUGCAGUUCACAGUGAUGUGUGUAAACUUCCCAGAAGGAAGUGAAACAGUAACAGUUGCUUGAAAUUAAGAAUUGUUCCAUCAGAUCACAAUGGGGCAUCAUUGGCACUCGCUGCUUGAGGGACCCACAGCAGGGGGUGUGGAGGUCAGGGCUGAGGUGUGCUCGCCUGCCCUGUGCACCUGACUGUAGUCAGUGCCUCACCUGAAAACCAUGUUGAGGAAGACUUUGGGCGCGUUAAGUAACUGAGUGGCUCAGAGCACGAUUUUUUUGCUCACUCGGAUCACUGAUAAAGUCUGCUCUGCAGUGCUCUGAGCUGCUCAGAGGGAGCGGAACUGUUAAGUGAGUUCUUUCACAGAGCUUCUCCGAGCGGCUCACUUACUGAACACACUAUUUGUUUCAUCACCGGAUUUACUCUCUAAAUCAUUGUUU